rnacentral:ribozyme from 1 species
CCGCAAAAAGGUAUCGUCCCAGUUAGAAUGAUGGGAAGAAGAAACAAAGAGAACAUGAGCAAAGAAGAAAAAGAAGGGAGUAAGAGAGAGGGUCUCAGACACAAUAAUCUCUCACUGUCUCCACAGUCUCGCAGUCUUUUUAUUUCUUUUAUAUUUCUGUUUUCUUUU